GGAGUGUAGCCCAGUGGUAGAGUGCUUGCCUAACAUGCAGGAGGCCCUGGGUUCAAUCCUCAGCAUCA
rnacentral:tRNA from 1 species